UGCCCUACGGGACGCAGCAGUAGGGAAUCUUCCACAAUGGACGAAAGUCCGAUGGAGCAACGCCGCGUGAGUGAAGAAGGGUUUCGGCUCGUAAAGCUCUGUUGGUAGUGAAGAAAGAUAGAGGUAGUAACUGGCCUUUAUUUGACGGUAAUUACUUAGAAAGUCACGGCUAACUACGUGCCAGCAGCCGCGGUAAUACGUAGGUGGCAAGCGUUGUCCGGAUUUAUUGGGCGUAAAGCGAGUGCAGGCGGUUCAAUAAGCCUUAUGUGUAAGCCUUCGGCUCCAACGGGGAAUUUCA
rnacentral:rRNA from 1 species